CUUCUGCUUCUCCAGCUGCAGCUCCAUUUGCAGGGCCCUCAUGUGAGCCAAGGUUCCAGCCUUGCUGGCUGUGUAAGCCGCACUGUAGGACGAGAGAUUUCUCACCUGCUAGCGAACUUAUGGUGACUAUAAAACCCCGGCGAAACGCCUUCAUUGGCGGCAGGAACACAAAUUUAGUCUGCAAAAAAACAAUGAACAAGUAUUGAAAGAUAUCUAGAAAUAUCUAGGAACUGAAGGAGCUUAAGAAAAAUUCAAUUCCAACGUUUAUUUUAUAUUUAAGGCUUUGGCGCGAACAUUAUAGGUUUCCUGGAUUUGCUUGACGGUGUUCUCGGCCCCGGACAAAUUGAUAUCUACAACGGCAAUGUGG